UCGAAUAUGGUGUAAUGGCUAACAUUGCCGCCUCUCAUAAGUAAGGGUGGAAAGAUAUACAUGUUUACGCGGCAGCUCGGGGUUCGAUUCCCCGUAUUCGAA